rnacentral:rRNA from 1 species
UACGGGGGGUGCGAGCGUUGUCCGGAAUCACUGGGCGUAAAGGGUGCGUAGGCGGGAUCUUAAGUCAGAGGUGAAAGCCUGGAGCUCAACUCCAGAACUGCCUUUGAUACUGGGAUUCUUGAGUUCGGGAGAGGUGAGCGGAACUGCGAGUGUAGAGGUGAAAAUUCGUAGAUAUUCGCAAGAACACCAGUGGCGAAGGCGGCUCACUGGCCCGAUACUGACGCUGAGGCACGAAA